rnacentral:rRNA from 1 species
CGAUGGUUCAUUCAAAUUUCUGCCCUAUCAACUUUCGAUGGUAGAGUAGUGGUCUACCAUGGUUUCAACGGGUAACGGGGAAUUAGGGUUCUAUUCCGGAGAGGGAGCCUGAGAAACGGCUACCACAUCCAAGGAAGGCAGCAGGCGCGCAAAUUACCCAAUCCCGACACGGGGAGGUAGUGACAAUAAAUAACAAUAUAGGGCUCUUUUGGGUCUUAUAAUUGGAAUGAGUACAAUUUAAAUCCCUUAACGAGGAACAAUUGGAGGGCAAGUCUGGUGCCAGCAGCCGCGGUAAUUCCAGCUCCAAUAGCGUAUAUUAAAGUUGUUGCAGUUAAAAAGCUCGUAGUUGAACCUUGGGCCUGGCUGGCCGGUCCGCCUCACCGCGUGCACUGGUCCGGCCGGGCCUUUCCUUCUGGGGAGCCGCAUGCCCUUCACUGGGUGUGUCGGGGAACCAGGACUUUUACUUUGAAAAAAUUAGAGUGUUCAAAGCAGGCCUAUGCUCGAAUACAUUAGCAUGGAAUAAUAGAA